UACAGAUGUCUGAUAUUUUGGUGUGCUU
rnacentral:piRNA from 1 species